ACACAAUGAUUAAAUUUGUAUAUUCCACUCAGCAGCUUCAUCACUAACAAUGUUUCAAUGUGACUAAGGUUGUAAAAAAAAAGGUGAUCUUAUCCUUUAA